GCUGACUUUACGUUCGCCCCAGCUCGAUAUUCGCUACUAGUGCCGAAUGUCGAUUUAAGAGCAUUCUCGACAUUCACGCUAGCUCGAUAUUCAGGACAAGUGCCGAAUGUAGAUGUCAGAGCUGGCCUGAUAUUUACCCCAACUCGAUAUUUGGGACUUUUGUCGAAUGUCGAUAUCAGAGCUGAUUCGACAUUCGCCCUAGCUCAAUAUUCAGGACUAUUGUCAAAUGUCGAUGUCAGAGCUGGUUCGACAUUAGCCCAUUUGGGAGUAGUGUCGAAUGUCGAUGCCAAAGCUGGGUCGACGUUCGCCCCAGUUCGACACUCUCUACUAGUGCCGAAUGUCGAAGUAAAAGCUGACUUGACAUUGGCCUUAGCUCGAUAUUCGGGACUAAUGCCUAAUGUCAAUGCCAGAGCUGGCUCGACAUUUGCCCCAGCUCGAUAUUUGGGACUAUUGCCGAAUGUUGAUGUUAGAGCUGGCUCGACAUUUGUCCCAGCUCAAUAUUCGGGACAAGUGCCGAAUGUCGAUGUCAGAGCUGGUUCCACAAUCGCCCAAGCUCAAUAUUCGGAACUUGUGUCAAAUGUCAAUGUUAGAGCUGACUCGACAUUUGCCCUAGCUCGAUAUUCGGGACAAGUGACGAAUAUCGAUGUCAGAGCUAGCUCGACGUUCGCCCCAUCUCGAUAUUCGCUACUAGUUCCGAAUGUAGAAGUCAGAGCUGGCUCGACAUUAACCCAAGCUUUAUAUUCGGGACUAGUGUCGAAUGUCGAUGUCAGAGGUGGCUCGACAUUCGCCCCAGCUCGAUAUUCGGGUCUUUUUACCAAAUUUCGAUGUCAGAGCUGGCGCGACAUUCGCAACAGUUCGAUAUUCGGAACUUUUGCCGAAUGUCGAUGUCAGAGCUUGCUCGACAUUCGCCCCAGCUCGAUAUUCGAAUGUCGAUUGUCUAUAUCAGUACCAACUUCACACACCUGUUAAUAAUAUGGUUGUUUAUUGGCGCACUAUUAGCAAAUGGUUCAAUCUUGAUAUUGCACUUGUAUUAACGGUUUGAAAUAAUUUAAUUUUAAUUUCUAUUAAUUUUGCAACCCAUGCGUGCACAAGUAUGUGACGACGACAUUCAUUUUGUAAGACCGUCGUCAUUAUGCGUAACCCAUAGUAGUUGAACAUCACUCGGCAUGAGUAUUCCGACGGGUAUUUCAUUUCUAUUCUAAAUGCAAAUGUUAAAAAGUUAUUACAUGUAUGUGUAAGGAUAAUAUUAAUUAUUUAUCAUUACUAUAAUUUUAAUUCGUCUUUAACCCAUUUAUGCCUAGCGUCUAGAAAAAGGGCCUUGGCAAACAGCGUAGACCCAGAUAAGACGCCGCAUUUCACGCAUCAGGGUCUGCGCUGUUUGCUAAAAGGAAUUUCUGUAAAUAAUAUUCUAAAUAUAAAAAUAAAUAUACUGGACAUCCCUAAUUUUAAUAAUAAAUUGAUCCAAUUUAGAAGGAUGGGAGAGUCCACUAGGCAUAAAUGGGUUAAUAAAAAAAAAAUUACGAGGAAUUUGUAAACAAUCCUUAUACAAAUAUGUUUAUAUGACAAUUUUGAAACAACAAUAUAUAAUGUCCUAAAUAUUAGCGAUUAUUUAUGACGCAAUUAAGAACGAUUAUUUCACCACUUAGUUUAUAGACUAGUGUUAAAUAAAAUAAAAAAGGCAUACAAUUAGCUUUGAUAUUAAUGCAAAGCAAAAGGUAAAAAACAGGAAUACCAUAUUUUUAGUUUAUGUUAUAAGCAAAUAAGAAACUCAUUUAAUUAUCACAUUAUCAUUGUUUCUUAAAGGUAAACUAUACGUAAGGCAUACAAUGAAUGUUAAUGGAAAGAAGACUCGUUUAUAUAUCCGCUACAUUUAUUACAGAUGUUAUAGCUAUAUAUAUAUAUGAAUACAUAUAAAAACUGAUAUAAGCGUCACUUAAACAAUUUGCAAACUAAUACUUAGAUCCUAUGUGAAGACACAGACACAAUUAAACGUGUGGUUUUUACUACUUCAGUCUUGGAGUAAUCAAGAAAAAGAUGCCUUCUGUCCAACUGGCACCAUCACCGCUGUUGACUGCCAAACUAUAGACGGUAUCCCUUUCUACUAUACCUGCGAAAAUGUGCAGUGUUCCAUACAAAAUGGUUUCGUAUGUUUGAAGUACCCACUGUCUUGCAGUGACUACAAGAUCCGAUACUUCUGCUCUACAUGUUUUACUUGUCCGUUUCGCAGCAGACCAGUGUCAUCCAUACAAAUACCGAAAGUCUCGUCAAGCACUCCUGCAGUGAUGGAACCUUCGUCAGAAGUAGCUAAUACUACUUCCUCUAUUACCGAAGCGGAAUGUGUGACCUCAGCGCAUCAUUCUCUGACAGAUAUCUGCAAUCCCUUACAACUGGGUGUUGUCGUAGGAAUCGCCUCGCUGAUAUGGUUAAUAAUCAUCAUCGCCAUGUGUGUGUAUUUUAAAGUCGUGCG